UGGGGAAUAUUGCACAAUGGGCGCAAGCCUGAUGCAGCCAUGCCGCGUGUAUGAAGAAGGCCUUCGGGUUGUAAAGUACUUUCAGUCGGGAGGAAGGUGGUAAGGUUAAUAACCUUAUCAAUUGACGUUACCGACAGAAGAAGCACCUGCUAACUCCGUGCCAGCAGCCGCGGUAAUACGGAGGGUGCAAGCGUUAAUCGGAAUUACUGGGCGUAAAGCGCACGCAGGCGGUUGAUUGAGUCAGAUGUGAAAUCCCCGGGCUUAACCCGGGAAUUGCAUCUGAUACUGGUCAGCUAGAGUCUUGUAGAGGGGGGUAGAAUUCCAUGUGUAGCGGUGAAAUGCGUAGAGAUGUGGAGGAAUACCGGUGGCGAAGGCGGCCGCCUGGACAAAGACUGACGCUCAGGUGCGAAAGCGUGGGGAGCAAACAGG
rnacentral:rRNA from 1 species